rnacentral:lncRNA from 1 species
GCGGCGAUGAGCGUGGGCGCGGCGCGGACACGGUGGAGGCGCUCAAGGAGCGACGCGCCUGGCUGUGCCGAUGGAAUCACCACGAGCUCUCUCGUGCGUCCAGCAUCGGCUUUCUAAAAAUGAAAUAAGGUUCUCCCGCCCAUCCCCCGGUGAUACUUCUAGCAUCAUCAGAGGACGUGUGAAGGUAUGUAUCUUAUGGGAUCCGGUCAGCGUUUGUCGGAGGUGGAUACGCUUGAAUUCGGUCUUCGUUCGUCCGCGUCUGUGUGUCUGCGGGUUGGAUCAUUCCGAUUUAUGCUUCUCUUCAUUGGCGACGGUUAAUGUUCUGUUGCGCUGGUCCUAUGGGACCUUAGCAUGAAAACUUCCCAACUGUCUACUACAAUAAGGUUUGCCCGGUUUCAAUAAGGGGUGAUGCCGACGACGCGCCUUCGGCUCGCUCCAGUGCUUGUAAUGGUCACUGGAUGGUCUACGGACCUGUAUGUAUUUUUUACUUCUGCUAUUCUUUGUACUGACAGGUGAUGAAUAGGUGUUGAUAUUUUCUUCUAUGUAUUUGAUUAAAUAUGUUCUUUUUGUAAAACAUGGUUUUUUGACUAAAUUUAUAUGCCAUGCAUUUGGGACAGAGGGAAUACUACACUGGUAUCACUGGAAACCAUGCUGGUAGACGUUCGUUCUGCCAUCCCGUCCAAAGUUAAUCAAACCCUGUCCGGUGAACGUCUUUAUUUUACCCCGUCCGGUACUUCGCACUCCCGUGUGGAGGCGUGUCUCCGUCGGAUCUCAUGGGAUCCGGUCAGCGCUUGUCAGAGGCGGAUACACUUGGAUUCGGUCUUUGUUCGUCUGCGUCUGUGUGUGUUGGAUCCCUUCGAUUUAUGCUUCUCUUCAUUGGCGACAGUUAAUGUUCUGUUCGCUGGUCCUAUGGGACCUUAGCACGAAGACUUUCCGACUGUCUACUACAACAAGGUUUGCCCAAUUUCAAUGAGGAAGGGGCGAUGACGGCGACGCGCCUUCAGCUCACUCCAGUGCUUGUAAUGGUUACUGGAUGGUCUACGGACCUGCAUGUAUUUUUUUACUUCUGGUGUUCUUUGUACUGAUAGGUGAUGAAGAUAUUUUCUUCUAUGUAUUUGAUCAAUUUUUUUUAUAAAAUAUUGAUUUUUUGACUAAAUUUAUAUGCCAUGCAUUUGGGACAGAGGGAGUACUACACUGGUAUCGCAGGAAACCAUGCUGGUAAACGUUCGUUCUGCCAUCCCGUCCAAAAUUCAUCAAACCCCGUCCGGUGAACGUCUUUAUUUUACCCCGUCUGGUACUUCGCGCUCCCGUGUGGAGGUGUGUCUCAGUCGGAUCUCAUGGGAUCCGGUCAGCGUUUGUCGAAAGUGGAUACGCUUGGAUUCGGUCUUUGUUCAUCUACGUCUGUGUGUCUGCAGGUUGGAUUCUUUCGAUUUAUGCUUCUCUUCAUUGGCGACGGUUAAUAUUCUGUUGCGCCUGUCCUAUGGAACCUUAGCACGAAGACUUCCUGAUUGUCUACUACAACAAGGUUUGCCCAGUUUCAAUGAGGAAGGGGCGAUGCCGGCCACGCGCCUUCAGCUCGCUCCAGUGCUUGAAAUGGUCACUGGAUUGUCUACGGACCUGUAUGUAUUUUUUACUUCUGGUGUUCUUCGUACUGACAGGUGAUGAAUAUGUGUUGAUAUUUUCUUCUAUGUAUUUGAUCAAUUUUUUAUAAAACAUUGAUUUUUUUGACUAAAUUUAUACGCCAUGCAUUUGGGACACAGGAAGUACUACACUGGUAUCGCAGGAAACCAUGCUGGUAGACGUGCGUUCUGCCAUCCCGUCCAAUAUUCAUCAAACCCCGUCGGGUGAACGUCUUUAUUUUACCCCGUCCGGUACUUCGCACUCCCGUGUGGAGGUGUGUCUCCGUCGGACCUCAUGGGAUCCGGUCAGCGUUUGUCGGAGGUGGAUACGCUUGGAUUCGGUCUUCGUUCGUCUGCGUCUGUGUGUCUGCAGGUUGGAUCCUUCCGAUUUAUGCUUCUCUUCAUUGGCCACGGUUAAUGUUCUGUUGCGCUGGUUGCUACCUCUUGAGCAUGCAUUGGUUUUCCCUUAAAGAGGAAAGAGUGAUGCAACAAAGUAGCGUAAGUGCUUUCCUCAGUUUUUGAGAACCAAGGUAUCAAUCCAGUAGGAGACAACGCUCAAGUCACCUAGUACCUGCACAAACAAUUAAGAACCUUGCAACCAAUGUGAUAAAGGGGUUGUCAAUCCCUUCACGGUUACUCGCAAAAGUGAGAUCUAAUAAAGAUAGCAAAGUAAAUAUUUUUGGUAUUUUUGUUGUAUAGUGGAAAGUAAAGAUUGCCAAAUAGUAAACGAGAUGCGAUGUAAAUAAAAGAGAUGCAAUAUAAUAAAAAAGAGAACCGGGGGCCAUAGGUUUCACUAGUGGCUUCUCUCAAGAUAGCAUGUAUUACGGUGGGUAAACAAAUCACUGCCGAGCAAUUGAUAGAAAAACGCAUAGUUAUGAGAAUAUCUAGGCAAUGAUCAUGAAUAUAGGCAUCACGUCCGUGUCAAGUAGAUCGAAAUGAUUCUGCAUCUACUACUAUUACUCCACACAUCAACCGCUAUCCAGCAUGCAUCUAGAGUAUUAAGUUCAUAAGAACAGAGUAACACAUUAAGCAAGAUGACAUGAUGUAGAGGGAUAAACUCAAGCAAUAUGAUAUAAACCCCAUCUUUUUAUCCUCGAUGGCAACAAUACAAUACAUGCCUUGCUGCCCCUACUAUCACUGGGAAAGGACACCGCAAGAUUGAACCCAAAGCUAAGCACUUCUCCCAUUGCAAAAAAGAUCAAUCUAGUAGGCCAAACUAAACCGAUAAUUCGAAGAGACUUGCAAAGAUAUCAAAUCAUGCAUAUAAGAAUUCAGAGAAGAACCAAAUAAUAUUCAUAGAUAAUCUUGUUCAUAAAUCCACAAUUCAUCGGAUCUAGGCAAACACACCGCAAAAGAGUAUUACAUCGAAUAGAUCUCGAAGAACAUCGAGGAGAACUUUGUAUUGAGAAUCAAAGAGAGAGAAGAAGCCAUCUAGUUAAUAACAAUGGACCCGAAGGUCUGUGGUAAACUACUCACGCUUCAUCGGAGAGGCUAUGGUGUUGAUAUAGAAGCCCUCCGUGAUCGAUUCCCCCUCCGGCAGAUCACCGGAAAAGGCCCCAAGAUGGGAUCUCACGGGUACAGAAGGUUGCGGCGGUGGAAAAGUUGUUUCGUGGCUCCCCCUGAUGUUUUUAGGGUAUAAGAGUAUAUAUAGGCGGAAGAAGUACGUCGGUGGAGCUACGAGGGGCCCACGAGGGUGGGGGGCGCGCCCUCCUGCCUCGUGGCCGCCUCGUUGCGUCUCCGACUUCAUCUCCAAGUCUUCUGUUUUGCUUUCGGUCCAAGAAAGAUCAUCGCGAAGGUUUCAUUCCGUUUGGAUUCCGUUUGAUAUUUCCUUUCUGCAAAUAAAAUAGGCAAAAAAACAGAAACUGGCACUGGGCCUCCGGUUAAUAGGUUAGUCCCAAAAAUAAUAUAAAAAAGCAUAUUAAAGCCCAUUAAACAUCCAAAACAGAUAAUAUAAUAGCAAUGAACAAUAAAAAAUUAUAGAUACGUUGGAGACGUAUCACUGGUCCUAUGGGACCUUAGCACGAAGCCUUCCCGACUGUUUACUACAACAAGGUUUGCCCGGUUUCAAUGAGGAAGGGACGAUGCCGGCGACGCACCUUCAGCUUGCUCCAGUGCUUGAAAUGGUCACUGGAUGGUCUACGGACCUGUAUGUAUUUUUUACUUCUGGUGUUCUUCGUACUGACAGGUGAUGAAUAUGUGUUGAUAUUUUCUUCUAUGUAUUUGAUCAAUUUUUUAUAAAUCAUUGAUUUUUUGACUAAAUUUAUGCGCCAUGCAUUUGGGACACAGGAAGUACUACACUGGUAUCGCAGGAAACCAUGCUGGUAGACGUGCGUUCUGCCAUCCCGUCCAAUAUUCAUCAAACCCCGUCGGGUGAACGUCUUUAUUUUACCCCGUCCGGUACUUCACACUCCCGUGUGGAGGUGUGUCUCCGUCGGAUCUCAUGGGAUCCGGUCAGCGUUUGUCGGAGGUGGAUACGCUUGGAUUCGGUCUUCGUUCGUCUCCGUCUAUGUGUCUGCAGGUUGGAUCCUUCCGAUUUAUGCUUCUCUUCAUUGGCGACGGUUAAUGUUCUAUUGCGCUGGUCCUAUGGGACCUUAGCACGAAGACUUCCCGACAGUCUACUACAACCAGGUUUGCCCGGUUUCAAUGAGGAACGGGCGAUGCCGGCGACGCGCCUUCAGCUCGCUCCAGUGCUUGUAAUGGUCACUGGAUGGUCUACGGACCUGUAUGUAUUUUUUACUUCUGCUGUUCUUUGUACUGACAGGUGAUGAAUAGGUGUUGAUAUUUUCUUCUAUGUAUUUGAUCAAAUAUAUUUUUUUAUAAAAUAUUGAUUUUUUGACUAAAUUUAUAUGCCAUGCAUUUGGGACAGAGGGAGUACUACACUGGUAUCGCAGGAAACCAUGCUGGUAGACGUUCGUUCUGCCAUCCCGUCCAAAAUUCAUCAAACCCCGUCCGGUGAACGUCUUUAUUUUACCCCGUCCGGUACUUCGCACUCCCGUGUGGAGGUAUGUCUCCGUCGGAUCUCAUGGGAUCCGGUCAGCGUUUGUCGGAGGUGGAUACGCUUGGAUUCGGUCUUCGUUCGUCUGCGUCUGUGUGUGUUGGAUCCCUUCGAUUUAUGCUUCUCUUCAUUGGCGACGGUUAAUGUUCUGUUCGCUGGUCCUAUGGGACCUUAGCACGAAGACUUCCCGACUGUCUACUACAACAAGGUUUGCCCGAUUUCAAUGAGGAAGGGGCGAUGACGGCGACGCGCCUUCAGCUCACUCCAGUGCUUGUAAUGGUCACUGGAUGGUCUACGGACCUGUAUGUAUUUUUUACUUCUGGUGUUCUUUGUACUGACUGGUGAUGAAGAUAUUUUCUUCUAUGUAUUUGAUCAAAUAUUUUUUUUAUAGAACAUUGAAUUUUUUUGACUAAAUUUAUAGGCCAUGCAUUUGGGACAGAGGGAGUACUACACUGGUAUCGCAGGGAAUCAUGCUGGUAAACGUUCGUUCUGCCAUCCCGUCCAAAAUUCAUCAAACCCCGUCCGAUGAACGUCUUUAUUUUACCCCGUCUGGUACUUCGCACUCCAGUGUGGAGGUGUGUCUCCGUCAGAUCUCAUGGGAUCCGGUCAGCGUUUGUCGGAGGUGGAUACGCUUGGAUUCGGUCUUCGUUCAUCUAUGUCUGUGUGUCUGCAGGUUGGAUUCUUCCGAUUUAUGCUUCUCUUCAUUGGCGACGGUUAAUAUUCUGUUGCGCUUGUCCUAUGGAACCUUAGCACGAAGACUUCGCGAUUGUCUACUACAACAAGGUUUGCCCAGUUUCAAUGAGGAAGGGGCGAUGCCGGCGACGCGCCUUCAGCUCGCUCCAGUGCUUGAAAUGGUCACUGGAUGGUCUACGGACCUGUAUGUAUUUUUUACUUCUG